UACGUAGGGUGCGAGCGUUGUCCGGAAUUACUGGGCGUAAAGAGCUCGUAGGUGGUUUGUCGCGUUGUUCGUGAAAACCGGAGGCUCAACCUCUGGCGUGCGGGCGAUACGGGCAGACUAGAGUACUGCAGGGGAGACUGGAAUUCCUGGUGUAGCGGUGGAAUGCGCAGAGUAUCAGGAGGAACACCGGUGGCGGAAGGCGGGUCUCUGGGCAGUAACUGACGCUGAGAAGCGAAAGCGUGGGGGAGCGAACAGG
rnacentral:rRNA from 1 species